rnacentral:rRNA from 1 species
AUUGAACGCUGGCGGCAGGCCUAACACAUGCAAGUCGAACGAGUCGCGGACGGGUGAGUAAUGUCUGGGAACCUGCCCGCUGGAGGGGGAUAACUACUGGACACGGUAGCUAAUACCGCAUACCAUCGGAUGUGCCCAGAUGGGAUUAGCUAGGGGGUGGGGUAACGGCUCACCUACGCGACGAUCCCUAGCUGGUCUGAUAGGAUGACCAGCCACCCUGGAACGGAGCCACGGCCCAGACUCCUAUGGGAGGCAGCAGUGGGGAAUAUUGUACAAGGGGCGCAAGCCUGAUGCAGACAUGCCGCGUGUAUGAAGAAGUCCUUGGGGUUGGAAAGUACUUUCAGCGAGGAGGCGGUACUCGAAGAAGAAGCACCGGCUAACUCCGUGCCAGCAGCCGCAGUAAUUC